rnacentral:rRNA from 1 species
CCUACGGGUGGCAGCAGUGAGGAAUAUUGGUCAAUGGACGAGAGUCUGAACCAGCCAAGUAGCGUGAAGGAUGACUGCCCUAUGGGUUGUAAACUUCUUUUAUAUGGGAAUAAAAUGUUCCACGUGUGGGAUUUUGUAUGUACCAUAUGAAUAAGGAUCGGCUAACUCCGUGCCAGCAGCCGCGGUAAUACGGAGGAUCCGAGCGUUAUCCGGAUUUAUUGGGUUUAAAGGGAGCGUAGGUGGAUUAUUAAGUCAGUUGUGAAAGUUUGCGGCUCAACCGUAAAAUUGCAGUUGAAACUGGCAGUCUUGAGUACAGUAGAGGUGGGCGGAAUUCGUGGUGUAGCGGUGAAAUGCUUAGAUAUCACGAAGAACUCCGAUUGCGAAGGCAGUUCACUGGACUGCAACUGACACUGAGGCUCGAAAGUGGGGGUAUCAAACAGGAUUAGAUACCCGGGUAGUC